GGCAAGUAUAUGAGCUUCGCAGUGCAUUUGCAUCACCCAAAAAUUUAUUGGUAUCAGAGUGUGUUGCUAGACUUUUCUGGAAUCACUGCGUAUGAGAUUUAAUGGAAUGUUCACUGAAAUAUGGAGGCUCCUCCCCACAUAUUACCCAAGGUGAAAACCCUACAUAUAAAUGUAAUAUUUUCAAAUGUGUGGUAUUUUUAUCUUCAUGAUUUUAUUGCCCAUUUUAUGAAUAGGGGCAUACAUCAUUUCAUCGUGCUUUGCUUUAUGGAGUUUUUUACAAAUUGAAGCUCCGUGGCAACCCUGCAUCAAUCAAGUCUUUGGAUGCUGUUUUUCCAAUGUCACUUGCUCACUUCGUGUGUCUGGGUCACAACUGUGGCCGUUCUUGCAGUAUUUCAAACGUUCUGAUUAUUGCUGUAUUUGUUACAGCAAUCUGUGAUCAGCGAUCUUUCCUUUUACUACUCUAAUAGUUCUGGCAUUCUUUAACAAGAAAACAUUUUUUAAUUUAAAAAAAGGACACAAUGAACUUCUUUGCCAAACAGAUACUGACUCCCAGACUCUGAAAAACAUAUGGUUUCCAAAGCAGACAGGGCGGGGGUGGGGGGAUGUGCUGCAGGUUUGGGGUGGAAAUGCUACCUAAUUGGGUGGUGAUGAUCAUGAUACAAUGAUAAAUGCCGUGAAAUUCAAUGAGUUAAAAAAAGAAAUUGCUGGCAUAUCUACACCCUCGUCACAAACUCUCAGCAGAGGAGUUUAGGAAAGGAAGAGGUUGAGAAAUCAAGACAACACCCUCAUGGACAGUGACAUUCACAAAAAUAAAACACCUGGGAGUAUAUUCUGACCCAGCAGGUCAAAGACCUGGAUUCAGAAAACUGAAAGAACUUGGUGAGAGACACUGGAGGCAAUACAAAGAAAUGAACCGCUCAAGGAGUUCCCGACGUGGCUGUGUGCUGUGUUGUGUUAGUGUCACGCUGCUGAGACUUGGCAUGGGGUUGGGGGUGAGCUGGAGCAGCCCAGAGGUACCCUGGGGAGCUUGGUGGAAGGAGGAAGCCCGGCGAAGGGGACCCCAGGAAGUGACCUCACUUCCCUGGCAACAGAGCCCAACAGAACUUGGAACCUGGGUGGCCAGGCACCCACUUCUCCAGGAAAGGACAGAGGAAGGAUGGACUUGCUCUGUUGCGCCCCCAUCUCCCGAGGCCGAAGCCGCAGGAGAGGGCCCAGAGGAGGAAACCUCAUCGAAAGCAGCAGACGAUGGAUCAGCACCCAGGGCAGACGCCUUCGGGCCUUUGCCCGCAGGGGCCCAGAGAGCCCCCCACCUGAGCCCUGCCAGGAGCUGGGCGAGGAAGGCAGAAGGUCUCCAGUUGAAACGCCCCCCAGGCCGCCCCCCAGGGGCCUCUCCCGGGCUCACAGGGAGCUCAGAACAUCCAGCUCUGGGACCGAGGACAGACACCAUCUGGGCCUGAGAGCCCUGGAUGGCCUGGCCCCCCCUGAG
rnacentral:lncRNA from 9 species